GAAAUGCGAUAAGUAAUGUGAAUUGCAGAAUUCAGUGAAUCAUCGAAUCUUUGAACGCACAUUGCGCCCUGUGGUAUUCCGCAGGGCAUGCCUGUUCGAGCGUCAUUUAACCACUCACGCCUAGCGUGGUAUUGGGGCACGCGGUCUCCGCGGCCCUCAAAAUUAGUGGCGGUGCCGGUGGGCUCUGAGCGUAGUACAUACUCCCGCUAUAGAGUUCCCCCCGGUGGCUUGCCAGAACCCCCAAUUUUUACAGGUUGACCUCGGAUCAGGUAGGGAUACCCGCUGAACUUAA
rnacentral:misc_RNA from 1 species